rnacentral:rRNA from 1 species
GACGAACGCUGGCGGCGCGCUUAACACAUGCAAGUCGAGCGAGAACCAGGACUUCGGUCCUGGGGACAGCGGCGAACGGGUGAGUAACACGUGGAUAACCUGCCCUCGGCACCGGGAUAGCCCGGGGAAACCCGGAUUAAUACCGGAUGGCCCUUCCGGCUCACGAGCCGGCCGGGAAAGGUAGCUUCGGCCUCCGGCCCGGGAUGGGUCCGCGGCGGAUUAGCUUGUUGGUGGGGUAACGGCCUACCAAGGCUCCGAUCCGUAGCUGGUCUGAGAGGACGAUCAGCCACACUGGGACUGAGACACGGCCCAGACUCCUACGGGAGGCAGCAGUGGGGAAUCUUGCGCAAUGGGCGAAAGCCUGACGCAGCGACGCCGCGUGAGGGAGGAAGGCCUUCGGGUUGUAAACCUCUUUCAGGGGGGACGAAGCUACUCGGGUGAAUAGCCCAGAGGGUGACGGUACCUCCAGAAGAAGCCCCGGCUAACUACGUGCCAGCCGCCGCAGUAA